CUGCUAGCAAUUACCCGAUAGCCACAUUAGCGUGUACUACGGUAGCAGCUAGCGGCUAUGGCUAAACCUUAAUGUGAACGCUAGGUAGCAAGCGUUAUCAGUCCUGCAGAUCUGUAACGUCAAAGAUUGAAGCUGAUAAAAGCCUACCAGCAAGUAGACAGAAACGUUGGCAGCCUACCUUAACAACUCUAAUUGAUGAGCAACGACAUAUGGAGGAACCAACACACCACAGAUGGCUUCCUGAACCCUGAAACCCCAGUGUCCUCUGGUCAACACCUGUCUGCAGCACGCCGGCCGAGCCAGAGGUUUUCUGAUGUACAGCAGAAUGUGUGUUGUGUUGUAAAAAAACCACAAGUGGCCAGGAUAAAACCAGAGAAUAUCAGAGACAGUACUGAGAGAGCUGGAGAGAAGCCCGCUGCCUCCAGUGGGAUCAGCAUGUCGUGGGCUUCCUUCCUGAGUGUGACAGAGCUGCACAGACUCUCUCAGAAAUGUCUCGCUCCAGAAAAAGGCUCUUUGUCCUGUCUGACUCCAGCCAGCACAGGACAAGGAGCAAACAAGCAUGUUUGGAAGUAGGAGUGUGAACACAGACAGAGAGAGCGUGUUUUGAGGAAAGAGACUGCAUGUGUUUGUGUCUAUAAACGGAGAUAUUGUGGAAUCUUGUUUUAUUGUUUGUCUGUUUGGCUGCUUGUGCCAAUGUUGAGAAAGUGUCUGUGUGCCGAGAAGCUUUUAUUUCGUGUUUAUGUGUAGUCCGAUUGCUGCAGAGGACAGAGAUGGGAUGAGAGAAGCACGAGGAGCAGCCAUGUGCUCUACAGAAGCAGAGAAAUGCCUUUGACAAGGAUACAGCUGCAUCAUAGUAUGGCGGUGGCAUAACACGAUGCUGCGUCUCAGCGCUUUUGAACGACUCAGCAGCUCAACAUCCUUCAGGCCAAACAACUACCAGAGUCCUGAUGGCAUAGCUCGGAGUUGUAGCAGCUAUGUGCCAUAAUCUCACAGCACAGGUAGCUUGCUGACAAAGCAGACAGACGAACGUGUUGGAGCUGUGUUAACAGUUUACCUAUUUCAGCUGCGCAGCUCGAGAUGGCUGCGCACCACUGCAGUAAAACCUUAGGGAACAUCGAUCUGCCCUUUUGCACAAAGCUCGUUUUACCCAGAUGAAUGUUCCUGCUGCCUCCGCUGUGUCUUUGGGAGAAAAACGGUGAAAUAAAUACAGUGCAGUGACAAAACAACAGGUCUGGGCUUGUUAGGUGUAUUAGCAUCAGGUGUAGACUGAAGAAUGGGAGCAUGGGUUGGAAAGUGAGAUGGUAAGCGAUGGAUG